AUGUAUAGCUCAGUGGAUAGAGUGAUAGCCCCCUAAGCUUUUUGUCACGGGUUCGAAUCCCGUUAC
rnacentral:ncRNA from 16 species